CGGCAGCCGGCCGUACACGCCCCGAGGAGAGCAAGGUAGGU
rnacentral:misc_RNA from 1 species